UGUCCAGAGUCACACAGCUAGGGUGUGUGUAUCUGAGGCUGGAUUUGAACUCAGGUCUUACUCCAGAUCUGGGGCUCUACCCACCGUACCACCCAGGUGUCCAGAUACUCAUAGGCGGGUUGUGGUUUUACAAAAAAUGUUCAGUUAGUAAAGUGCAAGCUUCAUAUAUGGAAAAGCAAUUAAUACAGUUGGAUGGAGUGUGGGACUCAUUCGGAGAAAUAGUGGAAGACCAAGCUGAAAAGGUUGAUUCGGACCAGAUUGGAGAAGGCCAGGCUAAGGAAUGUAGACUUCACUCAGCAGGCAGUAGGGAGCCGUGGUUGAGUUUUAAUGGGGGGGGGUGACCAGAGAAGGGCCACAGGGUUCCAGGGUGGCCCAUGUUGUAUGGAGGAAGGCAAUUUGGCAGCAGGAUGCGGGGUGGAUUGCAGUAUGGAGACAACAGAGGGGGAGAGGCCACUUAACCAGCUAGUGCCAUGAUCUAGGCUUGGACUGAUGGAGGCCUGAGCUCAGCUCUGGCAAGGAGAGCCAGGAGAGAAGGAGCAGCAGGAUGGACAUUGCCAAGGAAAAGUCGACAGGCCUUGGGGAGAAUGAGAAAACUGGGGAACAUUUUACAAGACAAGAGGGCAUUAAAUAAGCCCAGGGAACUUCUCGAGUUUCAAGUUCUAUUUGAUACUAGUUUGUCUGGGCCCCAGGUCACAGAUUAUGAGUCCUGAAUGAAAACUGAAAAGAAGUGGUGUACCCUGGAGGAUCUUGCUCCAUAAAUACUGAUACAGACCUUCUCACUUCACAGAAGUGGCCCGUUCUACAGAUCUCUAAGUGAAGUGGAUUUUUAGAAUCAGGAAGCUGCUGGUGCAGCGGAUACCCAGGAAGACUUGUGAUCGUGCCUCCGACACUUACCAGCUGUGUGACAUUUUCAUUCCUUUGUUCACUGGAAUUUCUCUCUAUGACUCUGCAUGGGGGUCUGUGAUCUUGCCUUAUGAAUAUGAGAAGUCCCUUUUGCAACUACAGAUGUCAUCAAGGAAUUGUAGAACAGGAAGAGAAGAUGGACGAGGCACAAGGCAAGAUGCCAGGCUUAUGCAGACUACAGACUGCAGAGAUGAUACAGUUGCCUUACAGUUCCCAGAGGCAGAACUAGCAGAAAAAUGCACACCAGGCUUUUCGUGUUUUCCCCAAUUACACGAAAGCUCUUCCUCUAAACUAUGUAAAAUAAAUGACCUCAAA